GGUGCGGGUAACGCCGCGCCCGUUUUAGAAGUUCGGAGAGGAAAGUCCGGACACCACAGGGCAGGAUGCUGCGCCAGCUGCAAGGCGAGCGCAGGCACCGCGUUUCAAAGCGCGGUGACGGACAGUGUCACAGAGAACAGACCGCCCGGUUCGACUCGCCGAAAGGCGGCUCGCUCAGGGUAAGGGUGAAAAGGUGGGGUAAGAGCCCACCGCGCCGAAAGCGAUGACGGCGGCACGAAAAACCCCAUCCGGUGCAAGGCAAAAUAGGUGGCUGGGCGGCCCGUCCGAUAGCCACGGGUAUGCCGCAUCCGGCGCAGCGACGCGCAAGCGGCGCCGCGCCGGGCAGGUCCGCCGCAAGGUGGAUGUUGAGAGAAAUGACGACCGAAGCGCCGCAAGGCGUGGAACAUAAUCCGGCUUACCGGCCCCAAAA
rnacentral:RNase_P_RNA from 1 species